CCUACGGGAGUCAGCAGUAGGGAAUAUUGCUCCAUGGGGGAAACCCUGAAGCAGCAACGCCUCGUGGAGGAUGAAGGUUUUCGGAUUGUAAACUCCUUUUGUUAGAGAAGAUAAUUACGGUAUCUAACGCAUAAGCACCGGCUAACUCCGUGCCAGCAGCCGCGGUAAUACGGAGAGUGCAAGCGUUACUCGGAAUCACUGGGCGUACAAAGCGCGUAGGCGGGAUAGCAAGUCAGAUGUGAAAUCCUAUGGGUGACCCAUAGAACUGCAUUUGAAACUGUUAUUCUAGAGUAUGGGAGAGGUAGGUGGAAUUCUUGGGGUAGGGGUAAAAUCCGUAGAGAUCAAGAGGAAUACUCAGUGCGAAGGCGACCUGCGAGAACAUAACGGACGCUGAUGCGCGAAAGCGUGGGGAGCAAACAGGAUUAGAUACCCGAGUAGGC
rnacentral:rRNA from 1 species